CAAUAGCGUAUAUUAAAGUUGUUGCGGUUAAAAAGCUCGUAGUUGGAUUUCUGUCCGAGGCAGCCGGUCCGCACCUGGUGCGUGUAUCAGGUUUGACUAGGGCAUCCUCUUGGGAACGUUCUGUGCUUCAUUGCAUGGGACGGAAUUCAAGACUUUUACUUUGAGGAAAUUAGAGUGUUCACGGCAAGCUAUCGCUUUGAAUACAUUAGCAUGGAAUAAUAAUAUAGGGCGUAAGUCUUAUUUUGUUGGUUUCUAGGACAUACGCAAUGAUUAAUAGGGACAAUUGGGGCGAUUCGUAUUAAUCGCGCAGAGGUGGAAUUCUUAGAUUGCGUUACGACGAACUACUGCGAAAGCAUUUGCCAAGGAUGUUUUCAUUGAUCAAGAACGAAAGUAUGGGGAUCGAAGACGAUUAGAUACCA
rnacentral:rRNA from 1 species